GAUGAACGCUAGCUACAGGCUUAACACAUGCAAGUCGAGGGGCAGCAUGAACUUAGCUUGCUAAGUUUGAUGGCGACCGGCGCACGGGUGAGUAACACGUAUCCAACCUGCCGAUGACUCGGGGAUAGCCUUUCGAAAGAAAGAUUAAUACCCGAUGGCAUAGUUCUUCCGCAUGGUAGAACUAUUAAAGAAUUUCGGUCAUCGAUGGGGAUGCGUUCCAUUAGGUUGUUGGCGGGGUAACGGCCCACCAAGCCUUCGAUGGAUAGGGGUUCUGAGAGGAAGGUCCCCCACAUUGGAACUGAGACACGGUCCAAACUCCUACGGGAGGCAGCAGUGAGGAAGAUUGGUCAAUGGACGAGAGUCUGAACCAGCCAAGUAGCGUGAAGGAUGACUGCCCUAUGGGUUGUAAACUUCUUUUAUACGGGAAUAAAGUGAGGCACGGGUGCCUUUUUGUAUGUACCGUAUGAAUAAGGAUCGGCUAACUCCGUG
rnacentral:rRNA from 1 species